GCCCCACCCCCUUGGUGACAUCAUCAAAAUUGCAGAUUUUUAGCCAAUCCCAUGGCAUAGGAUUGGCUAAAAAUCUGCAAUUUUGAUGAUGUCACCAAGGGGGUGGGGC